rnacentral:rRNA from 1 species
AUUGAACGCUGGCGGCAUGCUUUACACAUGCAAGUCGAACGGUAACAGGGUGCUUGCACCGCUGACGAGUGGCGAACGGGUGAGUAAUGCGUCGGAACGUGCCGAGUAGUGGGGGAGAACGAAGCGAACGCUGUGCUAAUACCGCAUACGUACUGAGGUAGAAAGUGGGGGACCUUCUGGCCUCACGCUAUUCGAGCGGCCGGCGUCUGAUUAGCUAGUAGGUGAGGUACAGACUCGCCUAGUCGACGAUCAGUAGCGGGGCCGAGAGGAUGGUCCGCCACACUGGGACUGACACACGGCCCAGACUCCUACGGGGGGCAGCAGUGGGGAAUUUUGGACAAUGGGCGAAAGCCUGAUCCAGCCAUGCCGCGUGUCUGAAGAAGGCCUUCGGGUUGUAAAGGACUUUUGUCAGGGAGGAAAUCCCUAGUGCUAAUAACACUGGGGGAUGACAGUACCUGAAGAAUAAGCACCGGCUAACUACGUGCCAGCCGCCGCCGUAA